rnacentral:ncRNA from 1 species
UAUACGGAGAGUUUGAUCCUGGCUCAGGAUGAACGCUGGCGGCGUGCCUAAUACAUGCAAGUCGAACGAGGUGCUUUUUGUAGCAAUACGAGAAGUAUCCUAGUGGCGAACGGGUGAGUAACACGUGGGUGACCUGCCCCAAAGUGUGGGAGUAACAGA